rnacentral:sRNA from 1 species
UGAGCUGCACCGAGACCUCGCAGGCCCCGGGAACUGUCGCCCUUCCACGAUGUGGCUCCGUGCCUUUAUCCUGGCCACUCUCUCUGCUUCCGCGGCUUGGGGUGAUGGUGUGGAUCCACGGAGGGGGGCUGAUGGUGGGUGCGGCAUCAACCUAUGAUGGGCUGGCCCUUGCUGCCCAUGAAAACGUGGUGGUGGUGACCAUUCAAUAUCGCCUGGGCAUCUGGGGAUUCUUCAGCACAGGGGAUGAACACAGCCCGGGGAACUGGGGUCACCUGGACCAGCUGGCUGCCCUGCGCUGGGUCCAGGACAACAUUGCCAGCUUUGGAGGGAACCCAGGCUCUGUGACCAUCUUUGGAGAGUCAGCGGGAGGAGAAAGUGUCUCUGUUCUUGUUUUGUCUCCAUUGGCCAAGAACCUCUUCCACCGGGCCAUUUCUGAGAGUGGCGUGGCCCUCACUUCUGUUCUGGUGAAGAAAGGUGAUGUCAAGCCCUUGGCUAAGGUAGGUCUCCGGCUGGUACCUCUCCGGCUGGACACCCACACCC